UAUUGGACAAUGGGCGCAAGCCUGAUCCAGCCAUACCGCGUGGGUGAAGAAGGCCUUCGGGUUGUAAAGCCCUUAUGUCGGGAAAGAAAAGAAGUCGGCUAAUACCCGGUUGUUCUGACGGUACCCAAAUAAUAAGCACCGGCUAACUUCGUGCCAGCAGCCGCGGUAAUACGAAGGGUGCAAGCGUUACUCGGAAUUACUGGGCGUAAAGCGUGCGUAGGUGGUUGUUUAAGUCUGUUGUGAAAGCCCUGGGCUCAACCUGAGAAUUGCAGUGGAUUCUGGGCGACUAGAGUGUGGUAGAGGGUAGUGGAAUUCCCGGUGUAGCAGUGAAAUGCGUAGAGAUCGGGAGGAACAUCCAUGGCGAAGGCAGCUACCUGGACCAACACUGACACUGAGGCACGAAAGCGUGGGGAGCAAACAGG
rnacentral:rRNA from 1 species